rnacentral:rRNA from 1 species
GCGUGGGAGACGGCUCGGUUGUAAUCUUGGGGUAGAAGUCCGGAAUAGCCACGGUAACUCUGCCACGCCCGUACAGUGGCAGCUUGCCGGAUUUAUUGGGUUUAGCGUAGGUGUAAGUCGGUGAAAUCCGCACUACUGCAUUGCACUGGACUGAGUACGAGGUGCGGAAUGAGUGUACGGUAAAUGCUUAAUAUUCAAAACACCGUGCAAGGUCUACUGUGGGGAUCAAACAGGAUUAGAUACCCUGGUAGUCCACACUGUAACGAUGUACUCGUGUUCGCUAGAAAGCGAUAAGACACCUGGGGUCGCCCGCAAGGGAAAAAGGAUGACGGGCGCAAGCGGUGGAUGGGUUAAUUCAUCAGAACUCGCUGAAGUACGGUGAUGC